AUCCGGCUGACGAGUCCCAAAUAGGACGAAACGUGCGUCAUGGAU
rnacentral:hammerhead_ribozyme from 1 species